GAACGGCCUCAACUACAUCGCCAUCGACGUGAGGGACGAGCCGGCGCCCUCGCCGUCCCCGCAGCAGCACCCACAUCUGCACCCACAUCCACAGCCGGGCGACAAGAACGCCUGGAGCCGGGCCCGCAGCCUCGGGGGUCUCAUCAGCGCCGUGGGGGCCAACAGCACCGGCGGGGGGUGUGGGGGGCCAGGCCCCGGAGCCCUGCCCUCCAACACCUAUGCCAGCAUUGACUUCUUGUCCCAUCACCUGAAGGAGGCCACCAUUGUGAAAGACAUCCAUGACCUGUCCAGGAAAGCCCCCUUCUCCUCCUGUGCAGAGGAGGCCUCCUGGCCAGCAGCAGCCCCCUCCUCUCAUAAUGCCUCCUGCUCUGAAAACCUGCCGCUGCUGGACGCCCUGCCCCCCGCCACAGUGGCCACUGUAGUCGGAGGAGGGCAGUCUCAUUUGGCUGGGCAGCUCUGUGUUACCAACCCAUCAGGCUGAUGGAGUCAGCUCCAGAGUGAAGACCUCCCUGGCUUCAUUACCACGACAUCACACAUCAGAGAAUCGCUUCAAAAGAAGAGGAUCAGCAUUUUUUUUUU